AUAAAAUUUAUAGAGCAUUUUUGAAGAAAAAUAAAAUCCAGCUAAUAAUCAAUGAAGAACACUCCCACUAAAUCAUUCUAAGCAACUCUUUAAGCUCCAUCAACAAUAUAGAAAUUAACUACCACCAAAGUGACAUCUCAACUCACAUUAACAAUAAACUUAAAGAAGCCGACACUAAACUCGUCACAAUUCUAUGAAUACUCGGCUAUUUAGGUAUAAAAAGGCAACGGACGUCGAUAAACACGCUAAAAUUGCAGCUACCGAUCCAAAUAUACCUUUGCUUAGACUUAUACCAUUCAACGACAUAAUAACAUUUAUAAAAAAUAAUAUAAUUAAAAAAUGGCACAAGGUAUGAAUCAACGAAACUCGAAGCUAAACCCAAUUAAGAAAAUUAUAUUCAAAUUUUAAUAUCAAAAUAAAGAUACUGUAAAUAAUGUAACAUUGUAACUAAUUGCCUUUACUGUCAAAAAUGUAUGAUCAAUAAAAAAUAAUAACUUUAUGAUUUUGA